rnacentral:rRNA from 1 species
CACGUAGGGUGCGAGCGUUGUCCGGAAUCAUUGGGCGUAAAGCGCGCGUAGGUGGCUUCGUAAGUCCGUUGUGAAAGUCAAAGGCUCAACCUUUGAAAGCCGAUGGAUACUGCGAAGCUAGAGUACGGAAGAGGCGAGUGGAAUUCCUGGUGUAGCGGUGGAAUGCGCAGAUAUCAGGAGGAACACCAAUAGCGAAGGCAGCUCGCUGGGACGGUACUGACGCUAAGGCGCGAAAGCGUGGGGAGCGAACAGG